rnacentral:rRNA from 1 species
GAUGAACGCUGGCGGCGUGCCUAAUACAUGCAAGUCGAGCGAACAGAUGAGGAGCUUGCUCCUCUGACGUUAGCGGCGGACGGGUGAGUAACACGUGGAUAACCUACCUAUAAGACUGGGAUAACUUCGGGAAACCGGAGCUAAUACCGGAUAAUAUAUUGAACCGCAUGGUUCAAUAGUGAAAGACGGUUUUGCUGUCACUUAUAGAUGGAUCCGCGCCGCAUUAGCGAGUUGGUAAGGUAACGGCUUACCAAGGCAACGAUGCGUAGCCGACCUGAGAGGGUGAUCGGCCACACUGGAACUGAGACACGGUCCAGACUCCUACGGGAGGCAGCAGUAGGGAAUCUUCCGCAAUGGGCGAAAGCCUGACGGAGCAACGCCGCGUGAGUGAUGAAGGUCUUCGGAUCGUAAAACUCUGUUAUUAGGGAAGAACAAAUGUGUAAGUAACUAUGCACGUCUUGACGGUACCUAAUCAGAAAGCCACGGCUAACUACGUG